GAUGAACGCUGGCGGCGUGCCUAAUACAUGCAAGUCGAGCGAACAGACGAGGAGCUUGCUCCUCUGACGUUAGCGGCGGACGGGUGAGUAACACGUGGAUAACCUACCUAUAAGAUUGGGAUAACUUCGGGAAACCGGAGCUAAUACCGGAUAAUAUAUUGAACCGCAUGGUUCAAUAGUGAAAGACGGUUUUGCUGUCACUUAUAGAUGGAUCCGCGCCGCAUUAGCUAGUUGGUAAGGUAACGGCUUACCAAGGCAACGAUGCGUAGCCGACCUGAGAGGGUGAUCGGCCACACUGGAACUGAGACACGGUCCAGACUCCUACGGGAGGCAGCAGUAGGGAAUCUUCCGCAAAGGGCGAAAGCCUGACGGAGCAACGCCGCGUGAAUGAUGAAGGUCUUCGGAUCGUAAAACUCUGUUAUUAGGGAAGAACAAAUGUGUAAGUAACUAUGCACGUCUUGACGGUACCUAAUCAGAAAGCCACGGCUAACUACGUG
rnacentral:rRNA from 1 species